UCCUCCUGGCUGCUGUGUGCUCUUCUGCCACGGUUUGUACCGGGCUCAGACCUGAGGAAACCAGCUCACCUGCUUUCAUGCUAGCUGUGCUCAGAAGCUCCCAGACUGACUGCGGUCCGUGCAGAGCGCUGACCAUCCAGUGAAGUCAAGUUGCCUUUAAUGAUGCAAGAUUGGCUCUGUGCUGGAUAGCCCUAGUUGGACAGAGGAACAGAGAUUUAGCAGGUGAACCUUCAGGCUCCAAAGACUGAGAACUUGUGACCUGUCAGAUCAGGAGCUGAGACUUCUGUUUGUCACUGCCUGCUCAGUUCUGACGUGCUUUCUUGCUUGGAGCAAAGGAGCUGUGCUUCAAAGACAGCUUUUGGGGUGAGUCUGAAACCCUAAUUUUC
rnacentral:lncRNA from 1 species